rnacentral:misc_RNA from 1 species
UAAUAAGUGUUUUACUGCACUUUUUAAAAAUCAGUAUUCACCUUGUGUGCAAUGUUUGCUGACACGUUUGCGUUUUUAACGCGUUCUUGGCAGCACAAUACCAACCCUUUAUUGAAAUUUUUUGUCUGAAGAUUUUUGAAUACAUAAUUCGAAAUA